GCCUACGGGGGGCAGCAGUAGGGAAUCUUCCACAAUGGACGAAAGUCUGAUGGAGCAACACCGCGUGAGUGAAGAAGGGUUUCGGCUCGUAAAGCUCUGUUGGUAGUGAAGAAAGAUAGAGGGAGUAACUGGCCUCUAUUUGACGGUAAUUACUUAGAAAGUCACGGCUAACUACGUGCCAGCAGCCGCGGUAAUACGUAGGCGGCAAGCGUUGUCCGGAUUUAUUGGGCGUAAAGCGAGUGCAGGCGGGUCAAUAAGUCUUGUUUGAAA
rnacentral:rRNA from 1 species